rnacentral:rRNA from 1 species
UCACGAAAGUGAAUUGUACUAGAAGUCUGCAGGCUGACCCCGCAAGGGAGGCAGCGGCCCAAGGUAUGAUCCAUGAUUGGGGUG